rnacentral:rRNA from 1 species
GAUUGAACGCUGGCGGCAUGCUUUACACAUGCAAGUCGAACGGCAGCAUGGGUGCUUGCACCUGAUGGCGAGUGGCGAACGGGUGAGUAAUGUAUCGGAACAUAUCCGCAAGUGGGGGAUAACGUAGCGAAAGUUACGCUAAUACCGCAUAUUCCCUGAGGGGGAAAGGAGGGGAUCCGCAAGGACCUUUCGCUUACGGAGUGGCCGAUAUCAGAUUAGCUAGUUGGUGGGGUAAAGGCCUACCAAGGCGACGAUCUGUAGCGGGUCUGAGAGGAUGAUCCGCCACACUGGGACUGAGACACGGCCCAGACUCCUACGGGAGGCAGCAGUGGGGAAUUUUGGACAAUGGGGGCAACCCUGAUCCAGCCAUGCCGCGUGAGUGAAGAAGGCCUUCGGGUUGUAAAGCUCUUUCAGCUGGAAAAAAAUCGCAUCACCUAAUACGUGGUGUGGAUGAUGGUACCAGCAGAAGAAGCACCGGCUAACUACGUGCCAGCAGCCGCGGUAAUACGUAGGGUGCGAGCGUUAAUCGGAAUUACUGGGCGUAAAGCGUGCGCA